CUUUUUGAAACGCAAGUUUGCGCCCGAUGCCAUUAGGUUGAGGGCACGUCUGCCUGGGUGUCACAUAUCGAAGCCUCCUUGACUAUUCUGCAGGGUGGAUGUUGGCCUCCCAUGAGCUCUUUUGUCUCAUGGUUGGUUGAAAAUUGAGACCUUGGUAGGGUGUGCCAUGAUAGAUGGUGGUUGUGUGACCCACGAGACCAAUCAUGCGCUUCUCUAUUGAAUUCGGCCUCUUUUACCCAUAUGCGUUUUUAAACGCUCGUGAUGAGACCUCAGGUCAGGCGGGACUACCCGCUGAAUUUAAGCAUAUCAAUAAGCGGAGGAAAAGAAACUAACAAGGAUUCCCUUAGUAACGGCGAGCGAACCGGGAUAAGCCCACCAUGAGAAUCGGUCGCCCUCGGCGUUCGAAUUGUAGUCUGAAAAAAGCGUCAAGGAGAAGCGUCAAACC
rnacentral:rRNA from 1 species